rnacentral:rRNA from 1 species
UACGUAGGGGGCAAGCGUUAUCCGGAUUUAUUGGGCGUAAAGCGCGCGUAGGCGGCCACAUAAGACCGCUGUGAAAGUCCGAGGCUCAACCUCGGAAUGUCGGUGGAAACUUUGUGGCUAGAGUCCGGAAGAGGAGAAUGGAAUUCCUGGUGUAGCGGUGAAAUGCGCAGAUAUCAGGAAGAACACCCGUGGCGAAGGCGGUUCUCUGGGACGGUACUGACGCUGAGGCGCGAAAGCGUGGGGAGCGAACAGG